UUUGUCUUUUUAUUGAGGGAGAACAAGGGAGAAACAAAGCUACCGUUUGGGUUGCUCCGAUUUCUCUUUUCCAAAACUACGGUUUUUGAAGAAUUUGGUCUGUCUCUUCAAGCUCCGUUUGGUUAUGCCGAGAAAUGAACAGUUGAUUUAGACAGCAUCAAACCUUCUCCAUAACACACAUUAUGGAUUCAACUAUUGAUCAUCAGAUGCACGGUUUAGAUAACCAAGACUGCCACAAUGUGAGAGCAAAUUCCA